CAGUAGCCGCGGUAAUACGUAGGGUGCGAGCGUUAAUCGGAAUUACUGGGCGUAAAGCGUGCGCAGGCGGUUGUGUAAGACAGGCGUGAAAUCCCCGGGCUCAACCUGGGAAUGGCGCUUGUGACUGCAAAGCUAGAGUGCGGCAGAGGGGGAUGGAAUUCCGCGUGUAGCAGUGAAAUGCGUAGAUAUGCGGAGGAACACCGGUGGCGAAGGCAAUCCCCUGGGCCUGCACUGACGCUCAUGCACGAGAGCGUGGGGAGCAAACAGGAUUAGAUACCCGGGUAGUCCCUGUCUCUUAUAA
rnacentral:rRNA from 1 species